UAGUGGCGAACGGGUGAGUAACACGUGGGCAAUCUGCCCUGCACUCUGGGACAAGCCCUGGAAACGGGGUCUAAUACCGGAUACUCACUGCCUUGGGCAUCCUUGGCGGUGGAAAGCUCCGGCGGUGCAGGAUGAGCCCGCGGCCUAUCAGCUAGUUGGUGAGGUAAUGGCUCACCAAGGCGACGACGGGUAGCCGGCCUGAGAGGGCGACCGGCCACACUGGGACUGAGACACGGCCCAGACUCCUACGGGAGGCAGCAGUGGGGAAUAUUGCACAAUGGGCGAAAGCCUGAUGCAGCGACGCCGCGUGAGGGAUGACGGCCUUCGGGUUGUAAACCUCUUUCAGCAGGGAAGAAGCGAGAGUGACGGUACCUGCAGAAGAAGCGCCGGCUAACUACGUGCCAGCAGCCGCGGUAAUACGUAGGGCGCAAGCGUUGUCCGGAAUUAUUGGGCGUAAAGAGCUCGUAGGCGGCUUGUCACGUCGGUUGUGAAAGCC
rnacentral:rRNA from 1 species